rnacentral:rRNA from 1 species
UGGGGAAUCUUGGACAAUGGGGGCAACCCUGAUUCAGCCAUGCCGCGUGAGUGAUGAAGGCCUUAGGGUCGUAAAGCUCUUUCGCCUGUGAAGAUAAUGACGGUAGCAGGUAAAGAAACCCCGGCUAACUCCGUGCCAGCAGCCGCGGUAAUACGGAGGGGGUUAGCGUUGUUCGGAAUUACUGGGCGUAAAGCGCACGUAGGCGGACCAGAAAGUUGGGGGUGAAAUCCCGGGGGCUCAACCCCGGAACUGCCUCCAAAACUAUUGGUCUAGAGUUCGAGAGAGGUGAGUGGAAUUCCAAGUGUAGAGGUGAAAUUCGUAGAUAUUUGGAGGAACACCAGUGGCGAAGGCGGCUCACUGGCUCGAUACUGACGCUGAGGUGCGAAAGUGUGGGGAGCAAACAGGAUUAGAUACCCUGGUAGUCCACACCGUAAAACGAUGAAUGCCAGUCGUCGGGUAGCAUGCUAUUCGGUGACACACCUAACGGAUUAAGCAUUCCGGCCUGGGGAGUACGGUCGCAAGAUUAAAACUCAAAGGAAUUG